GACGAACGCUGGCGGCGUGCCUAAUACAUGCAAGUAGAACGCUGAAGCUUGGUGCUUGCACCGAGCGGAUGAGUUGCGAACGGGUGAGUAACGCGUAGGUAACCUGCCUCUUAGCGGGGGAUAACUAUUGGAAACGAUAGCUAAUACCGCAUAAAAGUCGAUAUCGCAUGAUAUUGAUUUGAAAGGUGCAAAUGCAUCACUAAGAGAUGGACCUGCGUUGUAUUAGCUAGUUGGUGAGGUAACGGCUCACCAAGGCAACGAUACAUAGCCGACCUGAGAGGGUGAUCGGCCACACUGGGACUGAGACACGGCCCAGACUCCUACGGGAGGCAGCAGUAGGGAAUCUUCGGCAAUGGACGGAAGUCUGACCGAGCAACGCCGCGUGAGUGAAGAAGGUUUUCGGAUCGUAAAGCUCUGUUGUAAGAGAAGAACGAGUGUGAGAGUGGAAAGUUCACACUGUGACGGUAACUUACCAGAAAGGGACGGCUAACCACGUGCCAGCAGCCGCGGUAAUACGUAGGUCCCGAGCGUUAUCCGGAUUUAUUGGGCGUAAAGCGAGCGCAGGCGGUUAGAUAAGUCUGAAGUUAAAGGCUGUGGCUUAACCAUAGUACGCUUUGGAAACUGUUUAACUUGAGUGCAGAAGGGGAGAGUGGAAUUCCAUGUGUAGCGGUGAAAUGCGUAGAUAUAUGGAGGAACACCGGUGGCGAAAGCGGCUCUCUGGUCUGUAACUGACGCUGAGGCUCGAAAGCGUGGGGAGCAAACAGG
rnacentral:rRNA from 1 species